rnacentral:rRNA from 1 species
GACGAACGCUGGCGGCGUGCUUAACACAUGCAAGUCGAACGAAGAGCGAUGGAAGCUUGCUUCUAUCAAUCUUAGUGGCGAACGGGUGAGUAACGCGUAAUCAACCUGCCCUUCAGAGGGGGACAACAGUUGGAAACGACUGCUAAUACCGCAUACGAUCUAACCUCGGCAUCGAGGAUAGAUGAAAGGUGGCCUCUAUUUAUAAGCUAUCACUGAAGGAGGGGAUUGCGUCUGAUUAGCUAGUUGGAGGGGUAACGGCCCACCAAGGCGAUGAUCAGUAGCCGGUCUGAGAGGAUGAACGGCCACAUUGGGACUGAAACACGGCCCAGACUCCUACGGGAGGCAGCAGUGGGGAAUCUUCCGCAAUGGACGAAAGUCUGACGGAGCAACGCCGCGUGAGUGAUGACGGCCUUCGGGUUGUAAAGCUCUGUUAAUCGGGACGAAAGGCCUUCUUGCGAAUAGUUAGAAGGAUUGACG